rnacentral:tRNA from 1 species
GCACCGCUAGCUCAAUUGGCAGAGCAACUGACUCUUAAUCAGUAGGUUCGCGGUUCGAUUCCGCGGCGGUGUA